GGCUCAAGUAGAGCUAAGUCUUGAAAUCUCCUGUCAAAGUCUGACCGGACUGUGUCAAUCUGUUCUGCAUAAUAUGCACUGUCAAUCUCCGUUAAGUCCUUUCCUUGAUUGUUCAGCUCAGAUGCAAGGUUUCCAAAGUUCCCUAGAUCAUGGCGUUGGAUCUUUGAAGAAAGCAGUUUAAGUUUUGCCUUGAAGGCGUUCACUGAGCUUAUCAUAUUGAUCACGGUUUUCUCUUUGCCCUGUAAUUCCACGUUCAGCUCAUUGAGCAAGUUCGCCAGAUCAGUUAAAAACGCCAAAUCAAGCAGCCACUGAUCAUCGUUAAGUUGCGUGUAUUCCGCAUGUCACACUUUGAGUAUGACAUCGUGAAUAAGAAGUCAUCUUCCCAUUCCUGAUGGAAAUGGCAUACUAACAGUAGCUGGACACGUAGCCGACAGAAAACACAUAUUUUGUGUUUGUCCGUACUUCUGUCUGAAAGAGUCUUGCGCUUGGGUCCUGACCUGCCCUGUCAAACCUGACAGCGACCACUGAUCUGGUAAGUCAGCAGCUGUGGGUACAGCGGUAGAGUUGCUGUGUUGGAGCCAGAUGGCGUCUGCUGUAGCUGCGGGACUCAGCCUCUGAGGCGCGCGCACACACACACACACACACACACACACACACACAGGCUCCCAGAGGCGCAGAAACGGCUCUGCUCAUUGUCACGGCUUUCUAUAGCUCAAGAGUUUAUUGUGACAAGUUUCUUUAUGUAAAACAUUCAUUAUUACCACUGCUGUCUUUUCCUUUCUUGGUUAAGUGUUAAUUACUGUUACUGCCUUUGGGUGGAAGUUAUUAAAGCUUUCUUUUUAACA